UACAGAGGAUGCAAGCGUUAUCCGGAAUGAUUGGGCGUAAAGCGUCUGUAGGUGGCUUUUUAAGUCCGCCGUCAAAUCCCAGGGCUCAACUCUGGACAGGCGGUGGAAACUACCAAGCUGGAGUACGGUAGGGGGCAGAGGGAAUUUCCGGUGGAGCGGUGAAAUGCGUAGAGAUCGGAAAAGACACCAACGGCGAAAGCACUCUGCUGGGCCGAACACUGACACUGAGAGACGAAAGCUAGGGGAGCGAAAUGGG
rnacentral:rRNA from 1 species